AUGUGUGUCAGUAUAUGGGGAUGUUUCCCCCACAUUCAACGCCGGGAAUAGCGGAAAAAUAAAAGGGGAGAUGUAUUCCCCCCUUUUUGAUAAAC
rnacentral:sRNA from 22 species